rnacentral:rRNA from 1 species
GACGAACGCUGGCGGCGUGCCUAAUACAUGCAAGUAGAACGCUGAAGGAGGAGCUUGCUUCUCUGGAUGAGUUGCGAACGGGUGAGUAACGCGUAGGUAACCUGCCUGGUAGCGGGGGAUAACUAUUGGAAACGAUAGCUAAUACCGCAUAAUAGUAGAUGUUGCAUGACAUUUGCUUAAAAGGUGCAAUUGCAUCACUACCAGAUGGACCUGCGUUGUAUUAGCUAGUUGGUGGGGUAACGGCUCACCAAGGCGACGAUACAUAGCCGACCUGAGAGGUUGAUCGGCCACACUGGGACUGAGACACGGCCCAGACUCCUACGGGAGGCAGCAGUAGGGAAUCUUCGGCAAUGGACGGAAGUCUGACCGAGCAACGCCGCGUGAGUGAAGAAGGUUUUCGGAUCGUAAAGCUCUGUUGUAAGAGAAGAACGAGUGUGAGAGUGGAAAGUUCACACUGUGACGGUAUCUUACCAGAAAGGGACGGCUAACUACGUG